rnacentral:rRNA from 1 species
AUACGGAGGGUGCGAGCGUUGUUCGGAAUUACUGGGCGUAAAGCGGGUGUAGGCGGUGGAUCAAGUCAGAUGUGAAAGCCCUCGGCUCAACCGAGGAAGUGCAUCUGAAACUGGUUCACUAGAGUACGGGAGAGGAGAGUGGAAUUCCCAGUGUAGAGGUGAAAUUCGUAGAUAUUGGGAGGAACACCGGUGGCGAAGGCGGCUCUCUGGAACGAUACUGACGCUGAGACCCGAAAGCGUGGGGAGCAAACAGGAUUAGAUACCCCAGUAGUCC